CCCCCUAGUGGUGUUGGGGCAGCGGGUCGUGACUGUGGCUCCUCUGUAUGUAGAUCAUGGCGUCCUGGUACGAGAGGCCGAGACGCGGCCGGUCGUACAUCUCGCUCAGAGCUCCGAACUUCGGGCCCCAUCGCGACAGCCUGUCGCAAACGAACCCUCCGUCGUCCUCGUCUUCCUCCUCCUCAUUGCCGCCGCGGCCUGCGUCCACGUUUGCGCGCGACGCGGCCGACCCCAGCGAGCUGAGGCUUCCCGCCGAGGAGCCCUCACCCUCCACGCACCAGACAUGUUCCAUCAGUUGGACCCGACCUCCGUGUGAGUCUCCAUGUUUCUACGUCGUGUUGAAUACAGUUGUUGAACCACACGGCCCAGAAUGAAGCCACCAUGAAGUGUCCCCUGUCGGUCGCUCAGAAGACGAGCAGACACAUGCUGAUGGCCAGGAUGGAGCUGGGACUGAGGGCGGCCAGCCGGUGACCUUUGACCUGCCCCAGCUCGCAGCGCUGACCCCUGAACCCCUCCUGACAGCGGCACCGGUAGCUGUCCGGCGACAGCGGCUGGCAGGUGCCGCCGUUGCGGCAGGAAGAGACUCCGCAGGGCGACGGCUCGCAGCGCUGCUGACCCGACUCCUCGGUGACGGUCACCUGACCGGCGGGACACCUGGGAGACGACGCAGAGGGAGGCAGGACACGGUCGAUGCAGAGCAGCGGGCUGCGGCAGGGUCGGCCGCCGCAGGCGUCGCUGGAGCAGCCCGGGGUGACGCCCCGCCUCUCCAGCACCGACACCAGGUCCCGGCUCCGCCCGUCCAGAGGGAGGACCUGACCGUUGAAACGGACGUCCCGCAGGCAGCCUGGAGAGGAGAGCCAAGUGUGAGAUACGACGUGACGGACAGAUUGGAGAUUUUAAGUGAGAGACGACGACGUCAUGAACGUGAUCGAUUAUUUCUGUUUCUCUCAAAAUCAUGAAACAGAUAUUACCUGUGAGUUUAUUUUCCAAACAUGAAGAUUGAAGAAGUUUAGAAAACAUUACUGUAACGACUCGAGGAUGAAUCCUACAGGCGCGUUCACACACAUUACACACGAGAUAUUCACACCGGCAAUGCGGAUGACACACGAAAUUGUCUUCACUCGUGCGAGUUUGAAAUAAGAUAGAGAGAAACAUUCGCCUCGACAAGAUGUAGCAGAAGCCAGUCAGCGUCAAGAUCCUCCCGACGUUGCCGACAGAGAACGGGUGGAUGUUCGCGAGUAAAUACAAAUGAUCCGCCGGCCGAGUAAUGCGACACAAAAAAAUGACAGCAGGAGACCAAGAGAGCUUUUAAAUAGUGCACAACAUUGAAGUUCUGGAAGUGAAAAUCAUAUUCAUAUUCUCUAUUGACAUUUUGAUUAUUUUCCAUAAUGUCGUAACCGUCCGAGGUCGACCACGAGCUCUGAGGUUGUGAAACGAUGGAACAUGAACCUGUAGAAGCUACGAGUCCGUCCGAAAUCAACCGAAUCAUGUUUUAUUUGCAACGUCAUUGUCAUAUACCAAUGGAUUAUGGGCAAGUAGUUCCUUCACUCUUAAAGUAAUUACGUACACAGUCUUGUUCCUUUUGACUUUUCUUCUGUUUCCCAAUAAUUUUUUUGCUCCGAAUAAAUAAAAAGUUUUACUGUAACGAUUCAUCUCGAAGCUGAUUGGUUCUUGGUUCAGGAUUAAAACUCUUUAUAUGAAGAUUUUAUGAAACGUCAAUGGAGAAAAUUAACGAGUGGGAAAUUCACUUCCGGAUCCGGAGCCGUAAAAAAAAUGGGCGGAGUCACCGUUGCGCUCCAUCCUUUAAGAAUCUAACGAGCUCUCCUCGAGGCUCAGGUCUUCUACAGUCGAACAUCAGAUCCACGUCUCACCCUGGAAGUCGGCGUCGUCUCCGGCGUUUGGUCCGUUGCCGACCGUCACGCUUGCCGGGUGGACCACGAGCUCCCUCCGGCUC